UCUUUCUCUCCCAUCUACCUCACACUCUUGUAGGUCUAGUAAACUUGCCAUGUUCUUUCUAUCUAUCUAUCCGUUUCCUUCUAUAGACCAUUGGUUCUUGAGAUGCCAUUCCUUGUUCGGCUCCUCGAGUUUGCAGAUCCCAGGAAGAAUCAGUUUGCUAGCUGCCAUCACUUCCUUUGAUAUCUUCUGAUUCGUAGAGAUUGUCCCAUCUUAUGAUCUCUGGAUCUGAGAUUGAAGCUGGAUCCAUCUACCUAGCCAUGGUAUUUUAUGCAACAUCUCUAGCCUGGAACUGCUCAAGGGAACGAGUGAAGCUGCCAGCAUGAUCUAGCUCUGAGUGAUCACCCGAGAAGAACAAUAGUUCGAGGUGGUCUCGCCUUGCUAGGUCAUGCUGCGGCAGCCUCACUUCUUCCCGUCGUUGGGCAUAGCAAAACGGUGGCUGUGUUGGCUUGGCAAAGCAGAAUUAGGUAAAUGUUGGGAAAAAAUGGUGAUGAGAUGAACCGUGAAGUCUUGGGGAGCAUGGUAGGCUGUACUACUUGUACCGACGCGAGGAGGCGCGAAUAUACAAUGUCGCUGCUGAUGUGACCCAAACGUCUGAAUGCAUGCACUGAUUAAGUCGUAGUCAGGCACUUCAAUUUCUGGGCAGGAGACAGCCGCUCUGGUGUACCAGUGGACGGAUUCGCUGCCGCUACAUUUCAGACUUUUCACGGAUGCUCCUGCCUUUGUGUGAGGUUCCCGUUUUCUGUCCAGUGUGCCAAUGUCUUGUAAACAAGCUAUCUAAUAUACUUGUAAAAAAAGCUGUCUACUCUAA